UGCCUGGGUUACAUCCUCAAGAACUGCACAUUAAAUCAGUUUUACAGAAAAUUAGCAAACAUGAAGGCUACUUUUAUUGAUAGAUGCGUCAGGUCAAGUUCCUGUAGUACACUCAUCGGUCAACUCUAAAAUUCUGUAGAAUACCUCAACAUUUCUAUCUCCCUCUUGAACUUUGCAUGCUCUCUUUCUCUCCGUUAAUGUUGCAUGCAGCUUGUGAAAAAUCUCUCACAAAAUAUCUUUGGAAAAGCUUCACAUGCAGUUCUCUCUCUUGACUUUUGGAUGCAACUUCUGAAAAAGUUCUACAUGUUGGUCGAGAAAGGAAGAGUGAGAGUGGCCGUGAGAGGUUUGAGAGAGUCAGAGAGAGAAAAAGGAAGGGGAAGUAGAGAGAGAGGGGGAGAGCAGCUUUCAAGAGAACAAACGGUGAGAGAGAGGGACCUGUUCAUUUGAGAUUCAGGUUUUGUUUUACGCAGUUGUGCCUUGUCUCUAUCAUCAACAGUGGAUAGGCAUGCGGGGCUAUUACUGUGUCAGAGGCUGCAUGUGUGGGAAAAGAGACGGCAUGAGGCUGCAUGUGAGAGAGACAGCAUGCGGUCAGGGGGCAGAUGUCCUGUCACCUCAUGACCAGUGUAUCCUGCCAGUGUAUUAUGUCCUAACAAAGCUGCAGCUAUUCAAACUUUUGCACAUAUCUCAAUGCAUCAUAGUCAAUUCUGGACGGCCCUGAUAUAGGGUACCAGGUAGCUCGAUCUACAAAAAACCGUGCUCCAUCUUGGACUGCUGCAAUGGCCUCCUUCUCUGCCGCUGGUGGAAGGGGACUAAACCAAAAACAGUGGAUUACAUUGUGUGCAACCCCGCUACACACAAAUGGUUAGUCGUGCCUAGCUCCAUCUGGUCCAACAAGCAGGGCAAGGUGAUCGCUGCUCGUUUGGGGUUCGACCCGGCUGUCUCCUCCCACUUUAAUGUGUUUGUGUUUGUGCCUAAGUUUGUUAUGCAUGAGGAUGCUCCUGAUGAUGAUGAUGAUUUAUUUAAUUUCCAAGAGGGUUCUACUCGUCCGAAACUGGAGUUUGGAUUUAUAGGGAUGCCGUUUGGAUGGGCUAUCGAGCUGAUGUACCUACCAAUUCAAGACCCGUCUUUCUUGCAGGGAUGUUGUAUAUGUCUGCGUUUGGUAAACGGGUUAUAGCCGUUGACUUGGAGGGAAAUAACUGGAGGGUCAUCCCUACUCCUGUGGCACCACAACAUAAGGGUAAACCCAAUGAUAUUUAUCUAUCACGAGGACAAUUGCAUUAUGCUCACAGAGGCUUCUAAGCUAUCAAUCUGGGUUCUUGAGGAUUACAAUAGUGAAAAUUGGAUCUUGAAGCACAAGGUCAGCCACUCACGACUAUUUGGAGAAGAGUAUUCAUCGUUGGGGGAGGAUUACAGCCUUAUCUCAAUCCACCCACAACACAAUAUGAUUUUCAUGAUCUGUGGGUGGAAAAAGACGCUAAUGUCAUAUGACAUGGAUUCCAGGGAGUUGCGUAAAAUAAGGAAACUUGGAUGGGAUUGUAAGCCUCCUUAUAUUCCAUAUGUUCCCUUGUUCUCCGAGUCACUGGGAGAUGGGCGCUAGAAGUCUUACUCGCAUGGUGCAACUGUGCAUUUUUCUAUCUUAUUGAUGAUAUCGGAGUUAGAUAUUGGACACAAGCAAUAGUGACUUGGCUAGACCUCUGUGAAAUUGUGAGGUUCUUGUCAACUUAGUAACUCGGUUACCUUCCAGGUUCUUAGCCACGGUUAGAAUGAUCGUUUUGUUUGAACCAUUAUUAAUGACUUGAAUUUCUAGACCGUGGUCUCUUUCUAUUUAUUUGCUUCUGGAUUACAUAUGUAUUGCAACGCUUGGAUGCAAAAGUUGUGUUCUGGACUUAUAUGCGGAGAACUCUAGUCCUGAUACAUACAUGGAUCAUUUUUAUUUUUUAACUUUUGUCAGGCUUGACUGUCUGAAACUCUGAUACCUGAAUCCCAUUAUUUCAAUGACUAACAAUAUGGCUUGGAAGCUUUUCUCGGUACCCUUCCAAAGAUAAAAUGAUCUAUAUGUAAGGUAUCUUUCCCAUAAUUAGACAAUGUUGUUCAAGGUGUACAACUUUCUAAUUCAAACUGGAUUGGAUGUCAUUUUGUAGACAGAAUUUGUUCUGGAGUAUCAGAUCUUCAAUUUUGUAGUGAACCAUGCCUUCCACCUGAAUUAGGAGUUAAUGGGAUUCUACAUUUGCCUUCCUUCCAUAAUUUCUUAGAAGCUAAUUUCAUAGUAGUUGUUGGCGUGGAAGGAAACAAUUUCUGGAUCAUUGGUAUUCCUGUUAUCCUAUACCAGUGAUGUUCUUUUAUGUUAUCUAUGCGAGUACUGCUGAUUUUGAACUAUCACUCGGUUCUUGAGGACUACAUUAGUACUGAAAAAUGGACUUUGAAGCACAAUCUCAGCCACUCACAGAGAGUAUUCAUUGUAUGCACAAGAUUUUAGUGUUAUCUUGGUCCACCCGCGGAACACAAUUUGCUUUUCAUCGUCGGAUGAUAAGACACUGAUGUCAUACGAUGUGGAUUCUAUUGAGCUGCGUUUUAUACGUCAAGUUGGAUCUGAUUGUCAAGUUGAAUGGUCUGCCUGGACGGGAAGCCUCCUUGUUCUCAGAGUCAUUGGAAAAUGGGCAUUAAGUGUCUUGCUUGAGUAGUGAGUGAGUUGGUUAGAGCUUUGUGAAGUUGUGAUAGUUCUUGUUGGUACUAGAGUGCACUCAGGCACCUUUGUGUACCUAUAUAUAUUAGACUGAACCAUGGAUAAUAAGAUCGCUUUGUUGAACCAUGGACGUCUUUGAUAUCUUGAGCCUUCCUUUUGCAUUUAUUUGCAUUGCAACUUCUUGGUUAUAAAAAAUGAUUCUGCCUUUUAUGGCAUUUGCAGAGCUACAAGUCUUGGCAUGUAGAUGGAUCUCCUUUUGCUUUGUGAUGCUUGAAUGCCUAAAUCCCUUUUUUGUAGCAAUGUGCCUUGAAAGCUUUUGUUUAUGUCCUCCCAAUGAUGAAAUGAUAUAUGUUUAAGGUAGAAGAUUCUUUGGAAUAUCAGAUCUUCACAUUUUAAGAGGACGAUGGAUUCCACCUGAAGUAGAAGGAUGGUUUUUAAUAUUCUGAGGUGGUUUUGAAUACUGUAAGAUAGCUAUCACAACUGUAGAGCAUGUUGGUAUUAUCUUAAUAAAAUAUUGAAAUGACUGGUAUUCUUUUUUGUUACAACAACCAACCGUUUUGUCACUUGAUAAUCAUAUUAUAAUGUUUAAUUCCUAACUUAGCCUUGUUGGAAGUGAUUUUCAGGCACUCCUAAGAUAUUUCACUAAAGGUUUGAGUAAGCAGUCGCACUAAUGUUCUUAAUUAGUUUUUGGUUCUGCCUGUGAACUUCACAUGGCACCUACUAUAUCAUUUGUAGUUCUAUUUAUGACUGUUCUAUGUGCUAGACAAUUGAAACUUGUGAAAAUGGCAUUUAGGUUGUUCUCAUGAUAACUGGUCGAAGUUAAACUUCCGAAGCCCAUCUGUCUACAUUGUGUUGUAAAUGAAUUUCCUAUUGCUUGAUCAUUUUAGCUUUUACUCCCUCCGUCCCAUAAUAUAAAAGCUCUUAUAUUAUGGGAUGGGGGAGUAGCUAUUGGUCUCCUGUCUAUUUAUUUAUGUUUCUACUUCUACGUGUGAUCAAUGUGUGCAGUUGCAUUGCCUUAUUGGAAUGGCCACAAUAAUUGCCUUACCUGUCUGAAGUUGUUGUCUUGCUGACAUGAGUAAGUAAAUUGCUCUGGUUCAUGGUGUCUUGCUGGUUCAUUAGAUUGAGUUAUAUGUUAUGAUACCGGAGAUGCAUGCUAUCUUUCGAUUGUUGUAUACAAAAUGUUUGAACCUGCUGCUGCACUCUGUGUUGGUGUACAGCGAUUCUAGUUCCCAAGUCAAUUGCACAUGCUUGUAGGAUGUGCUGCAAUGUUUUUUUUAGGGAAGGAUGUGCUGCAAUGUUGGUUACAGUGUUAGUUGAUCUUUUCACUGUUUUAGCUCACUUGGCUGUUGAGCGAGUAGAAACAAAUUUGUUCCUAGGACAGGUGCCAACCUUCCUGACGUUGUUUGUAAACUGGACUUCUAACAGGAGGAUUUCCAAAUUAUCAUCUGUAUCAUCACUAUUUUCAGCGGAACAAUGGAUCAAACGCAAUAUACUAGUGUAUGAUAACAAAGGAAAAAAAAGAGAGAAGUCAGUAUUGCCUCUCAAAUCUGUAUCGGGCUUCUUCACGGACUGUAAAAUAGAGAUGGAGAUGCACUGACCUAAAGAAGCGGUGACCAACAAAUACUCAAUUGAACACGUGCACAUAUUGCCUAUAUUGGUGUACCGACGCGGAGUUUUUGGUCGCGAGCUCACGUGCGCUCGAUAUCGACGACGUCCGUUAGCGCCUCUGGAUCUGAGCUAUUAUUCUAUACGCGCGGUUGGGGUGCGCCAGAAAUUGAGUACUGUUGGGAAAUACGUACCCGUUUGUGGUGGGUGGUGGGCCAUUGCGACGGGGCAGAGUUGACGGGUCUAACGACAGUUUGGACGGCAGUCGGCCUUCGGCGAAGUGAGCUGCGUACCAGAAUCGGCGGUCACGUCUGAUACAUGGAUCAGGAAGUUCGUUUUCCUUUACCGGUUGCAGAGCACCGCGGGAUAGAGGUAAGGAGCGCCGGCGGCGAGAUCCGCUCUGCUUGAGGAGGCAGGGGAGAGUUUGGUGGCGGGCCCUGUGGCUGUGAAUGGCCCUGCGGUGGCGGUUUUGGAGGUGGCGCAGCAGGUGGAGGGCGAGGUGACGCAGCAUCGGAGGGUGGACAGCGGCGAAGCACAAAUCUUCUCGGCGAAGGAGGCGGCGGCCGAAAGAAUGGAGAGCUCGCCUCCGACGUCCGAGCUAUCAACGGGGAAGAUGAAUCCCCAAGCGCUGGGUUGUAACAAGAGGCUUAGGAUUGGUGCUGCCGCACCGAGCAGAACACCGCGCCCAAGUUGAAUCAGCCCAUGAUCGAGAAGGCUGUCAGGUGUUGCAGAGAGAACCCAACUGAGAACGUGAUCGCGCCGGUCCUUGUCUAUGCUGCAUGCUCGUCAGUGAGCCUGUCAACAGGAAAGGGAGAGGGUAGAAGUUGAGCGAACCCAUGGAUUGAAUGAGGUUUCAGUGGCGUCGAAUUGCACCAUGAUCAGAUACAUGCUGUGAAAUCAUAUUUUGCGUGGGGGCGCCAACAAGCCUGCCGACAGCGAUGUCACUUCCAGAGUUCGAGUGGCUGUAGCAGCAAGAAGGAACUGCCUAUUGCUGGCGGGGCUCAAGCGGUGUCACUUUCAGUGGCUAUAGCAGCCAAAAAAACCAAAACCCCUCUAUAUUCUGAUGGCAAAUCUAUGUAUGAAUUGCACGUGGCAUCACAUAAAUUACCAUUCGAGAUAAGUUCCAGUCUGCAGAUCUCAGGGGACAGUAUGGCUGGAAUACGCUUGGUAACAGGGAGCAUUACCACUGCUGUGUACAAGACCUCUAAGUAAGACCGAAUCAAAUUUAAGGAGGGAUGGAAGGAGUUUACUAUGGGGAAGGACCUAAGGUUUGGCAAUGCUAUACUAAUCACUUUCAGGUGCAGCGCAUUUGAGGAGUUCAUAAGGAUAAUGAUCAUCAACAAGAUUUAAGAGUUGCUUGAGUUCAGUCAGGAGGACGAGGAUGUGAUUCUCGGAAGUAUAAUUCGUUCGCGGCACGCAGUUUUUAAUUUGUUAUUGUUGUCAGUGGAACAAUCAAUUAUCAGUGUGUCCGUAUGUAUAUGUUUGCUAAGCUACUGGAACCUUUGUAUGAACCAUCUGUUUUCAGUAUAUUUUUCUUCAA